rnacentral:lncRNA from 1 species
CCAUUUACAUGUCUGCCCAACCACCACACAUUUCCAAGGUUAUGUUAUGCCUACGCACUAGCUCUUUACACUUAUCAAUAAUACUCCAAAUUCCAAAAUACAAACACUUGGGUUAAAAGAAUUUGAAAAACAUAGAGACUGCAAACACAAACAGAUGUCAGUUCUCACAUGCUCGAUCUCUAUUAUUACAUUAUUAUGUUGCAUGCAUUAAAAUUUUAAAACUUUGUCCUAAUUAUUCUUUAUAAUAAACAAAGUAAAGCCAUUCUUAAAUUCUAUGGGGCUCUAUAAAUUCCCCUACGAACGGAUAAGGCUUUGGUUCCUUGCCUACUUUAAACAAACAAGACCAGCUCACAUAAGCACAGUCACAUACUUUCUCUUAAGAAGCAAAAAAAAAAAAAAAAAAAAUCCCAUAGGCAUUAGUAGCUGCUGAGAGAGUCUGUGCAUGUCCACACAACCUUCAAAGUUUCUUUUGUUUUGCCAGUGGCGAUCUACGGGAGUUACCUGUUUCAUCUUCAGGUUGUAUUGCUCUUAUCAAAUACUAUAGCAACCUCAAAUGCGAACAUAGAAGGUACAGAUUUAUUUUUAUUUCAUUUUCCCAUCUGCUAAAAUUGAUUACUAUACAAUAUUCAUAGCAUAAAUCACAAACAAAACACAGCCAAUAAAAAUAUUCAUCACUAAUGCGGACAUAUGUCUGAACCCUCUCUCCCUUUAAUCAAUUUUCCCACCACCAGCUUCAUAACAACAGUUCUAACUCAUGAAAAUUUGGCCAGAAAAAUAAAAAAGGCAGCAGUGGCCACUUCAAUUUCACAUACCCAUUCGCAUAAAACUCACAAAUUAAUGGAUUUAUAUGCCUUAUUACACUAUGAAUAGCACAAAUCACAAACAAAACACAGCCAAUAACAAUUUUUAACUCAUGCAGACAUAUGUCCGAACCCAUACUCCUUUUAAUCAUUUUUUCCACCACCAUCUCAUAACAACAGUUCAAACACAGCCAAGGAAAAUUUCUGAAAUUUCAAUCUCUAAAAACAAGAAAAUCGAAGCUAAACAAUAAAUUUGAGACUUUGAUAAAGUCACUGACCUCUUUCAAGCUCCAACACCAGUGGCAGAACCUGGCUGUGGUCGAUAUUCGCUGGUCGGCAGUCUUUUCCGACUAUCCAAGCCUGUCUCGCUCAUGGGUUAUUUGAAAUUUCUGAAGAUUUGCCUUUGGUUACAGCGGCUUGGAACGGGUAGUUAAGUGGAAUUGGUUCGACUUCUUGCGGUGAGAGCGGAACAUUUUGCUUGGUCUUGUGUAAGGAAAGGGAGAAUUAUGUCUUUUACGCAAUAGAUAUUAAGUGGAAUCGGCAAAUACAAUUAUACGGGUAUUCAUACUAACGUUAUACAAUUUCGAAGCAUUUUUUGCUUCAAGUUUUGUUUUUGG